GAUUUGAGCAUGACAAUAUCAAGCAGGCUGCAGACCUGAGAUUCUUCUGCUGGCUUUAUAGAGCUUUUUAUUUUUUAACAGAUACUAAUUGACUGUUAGUAAAGCAGUAAAGGAGUAUGAAGCUGUCAGAGAGAGAUGAGAAAAUCCUAGUAAUGCCACAUGGCAUUGAGUCUUUGAAGAAAAGCUCCAGUCUGGCUUCAUUUGUUGACAAGUGAGGCCACAAUGGAGGACUGACUCCUCUGAAGGGUUGAACAUCUUGUGGACUAAGAUACACAGCUAACUUAAUCUUUGACUCCUUCAUCUGUCCUCUCCGUCACACUCAGCCAAUGGAACCGGCAGCCAGAUGUCCACCCCAAUGCCCCCCACAUCAACCCCAAGUAGUCCAGGCCUGAACAACAAGCAGAAGGAUCUCAACCUGGAGGGUGACGAUUCCCUCAGUGAAUCCACCUAGACUCUCCUGCUGCAGCAGCCCACGUUAGGCUUAAAAUAUACAGAUUUUUCUUUUCCACCUUCCCUCACAAUGCCACCAUCGAGGAGAACCACUCUCUUUUUUCAUUUUGUUCUUAAUGUGAUGCAUAAUUUUACUGAAAUGAAAAUCAAAAGCUUUUUAACUUUCUUUUUGGGAUUUACAAUGUGCAACGACGAUUACUGGAUUAACAUGAUAAUGGGCUCCACUAAUAAUGAUUGCUACAUAUCUGUUGCAUGACGUGUGAUUCACAUUAAUGUUUAUUGAAAUGAUGCAAGAAAGUUUUUUGAAGAUAAUCAAUAAGCACUCUGUUCUGCUACUCUAUAAAUAAUCGGCACUUGAUCUAUAUAAAAAUAUAUAUAAAAAAUAUGAAAUACGUAAAAAAAAAAAUAAAAAAAACAACUCGGGUGGGAUUAUCCAAAUUUCCUUCCUCCCACUAACCAACAACUAUGUUAGGUAAUCAAUAUUUUUAACAAAUCAAAUAUGACUUGUGUGUGUACUGCAGGCAUUACAACACAAAAGUAUUCAUUACAUUCAUUAUUACAUAGUUAAGAGGAUGUCCUCAUGAACUAAUAUCUUUAUUAUUUGUUUCUUUAUUUUACUUUCAAUAUAUUACAUGAUAUCUAAAACAGGCUUGGAUUAUCUGUGUUUUGUAAUUUUAAUUGUGUUAUUCCAUAAUUAACAAGUCAACAACCAAAUCGACAACCAGUAAUGUCAACAAGUAGUGUUGACAUUACUGGUUCCUUUUUGAAUUCCCAUGAAUAAUUUUAAAUUUUGGUUUCAAACUCUUCACAGGCACAUUCAUACACUUCACUGUAGUUUUCAUUUUUUAGUCAUUAAUCUCCAGCACCCUCUGCUGUAUAAUGUCUGAAUAAAGAAAUGCACACUGAUUUUAAA